CCCGUAUGAGUCAUAUUUAUAAUCCCCUAAUGAUCACAAUCUGAUUCCUAGAGACCGUAUGUCCUUCUAAUUUUGUAUUUGCAGCUUUGUAUAACCCUGAAAUUGUUUAAGGAACACUAUAGGCACUUCCUGCUGUUUAUGGAGUGUGACUCUGUAAAAUGAUGCUGGAUGUCCUCACGCUUUGCAUGAAGACGUGUGGCGUUUUCAGAAUUGCUGUGCGUGCUUAUUAGGUUUCCCUUAUCGGCUGAUGACGGCGGAGCAACCCGACAAAGUGCCGAACAUAUUGACGCUGGAAUCAGGGAGGCGCAAGGUUGGGUGAACAGAUAUUUUCUAUAGUGUUCCUAACACAAUAGUGCUCAUUUAAGGGAAGACCCCAAGCACCAUACCCAUACAGCUUGCCCUGGCACCUCUCCAUUAUAAGUAAUCAAACCAUUUUAGAAUACUUUGACUUUUUACCUGGGGUCCGUCAGGCACCGUCCCCACAUCUACUGUGUCUAACAGACAGCAAGAAUCUCCUACUUAAGAGCUUCCAUUAGCUAUCCUGAGCAAAUUGGCUGAGAGUGUCAACUAAU